UACGUAGGGUGCAAGCGUUGUCCGGAAUUACUGGGCGUAAAGAGCUCGUAGGUGGUUUGUCGCGUUGUUCGUGAAAACUCACAGCUCAACUGUGGGCGUGCGGGCGAUACGGGCAGACUUGAGUACUGCAGGGGAGACUGGAAUUCCUGGUGUAGCGGUGGAAUGCGCAGAUAUCAGGAGGAACACCGGUGGCGAAGGCGGGUCUCUGGGCAGUAACUGACGCUAAGGAGCGAAAGCGUGGGGAGCGAACAGG
rnacentral:rRNA from 1 species